UAAUACGGAGGGUGCAAGCGUUAAUCGGAAUUACUGGGCGUAAAGCGCACGCAGGCGGUUUGUUAAGUCAGAUGUGAAAUCCCCGGGCUCAACCUGGGAACUGCAUUUGAAACUGGCAAGCUAGAGUCUCGUAGAGGGGGGUAGAAUUCCAGGUGUAGCGGUGAAAUGCGUAGAGAUCUGGAGGAAUACCGGUGGCGAAGGCGGCCCCCUGGACGAAGACUGGCGCUCAGGUGCGAAAGCGUGGGGAGCAAACAGGAUUAGAUACCCUGGUAGUCCACGCUGUAAACGAUGUCGAUUUGGAGGUUGUGCCCUUGAGGCGUGGCUUCCGGAGCUAACGCGUUAAAUCGACCGCCUGGGGAGUACGGCCGCAAGGUUA
rnacentral:rRNA from 1 species